rnacentral:rRNA from 1 species
UACGUAGGUGGCAAGCGUUGUUCGGAAUUACUGGGCGUAAAGAGCGCGCAGGCGGCUGGUCAAGUCCGAUGUGAAAGCUCCCGGCUUAACUGGGAAAUUGCAUCGGAAACUGAUCGGCUGGAAGGUGGGAGAGGGUAGCGGAAUUCCCGGUGUAGUGGUGAAAUGCGUAGAUAUCUGGAGGAACACCGGUGGCGAAGGCGGCAUCCUGGACCGGUAUUGACGCUGAGGCGCGAAAGCCAGGGGAGCAAACGGG